CUAUCAAUGCCAAAUCUCAGGCCCUGGUGUAGGGCAGUGGUCACUGAAACUGUUUGUCAAGGGUUGGAGAGUGGAGAAGUCGAUCAAUGGAAGAGUUCAGUGCAAGCAUACAGAGGUAAACAGAUACUAAUUGAUCUUCUUCUGAUAAGCCAUGGUGGGGGGAGGGGGGGUUGUUUAAAGCAGGGCCUGCAAGUAUUCUAUAUCCUUCACUGAUUCAGAUGCCUUUCCCUGAGGCUGGGAACACACGUAUCCAGCAGAUGGGGCUCUGAGAUCAGAUCUCAGCAGAGGAACAGAUGAGCAUCGCAGCAUGGCCCUCGUCUUUGGAAGCCAUUCCUGUUCUUGAGAGUUGAGAGGAUCACAGAACCACAGAAUGCUGGGGUUAGAAUGGACAAUGAGCUCCGGAAUUCUCAGAGCCGGGAGUGUCAGCGUCUGCCUCCUUCCCAGAGAGAUCCAUCUGAGCGGGAGGAGCUCAUUCUCAUGGAUAUUUUAAAGCAUCCAGCUUUAGACACUGAGCUGAAGAAGUGGCUAAAGACUGCUCUCCCUACACAUCUCUAGAUUAAACUAUGGCAGGGUUUUGUCUAUUCUCAGAGCCUAGCACAAUUCCUUAUACAUUUGGUGGGUGAAUGCUGUGAGGAGUGAAAAGAAAGAGAGUUGAGGAGGGGGGUGGCCCUUACCUGUGAUUUCACCAGUGUGAGGAACUCCCAGUGAGUAAAUUUCCUCCCCUAAGGCAGAUAGCACCUCCCCUCUAAUUUAUAGUCAAUCAAUCAAGUAUUUAAUAAGUACCUAUAACUAUGUACCAGAUAACUGGCUGGGAAUACGACAACAAAGAAUACGCCCAUCCCUGACAUCAUAGGGUUUUUGUAGUUUUUCGGGAUCCUAGUCACCUGCCAAGGACUCUUCAAUCCAUGGAGUUAGAACUGAUCCCUUGCACAAAGCAGGCUACAGAGGAACUGAGAUGAGCUGUCUGUCGGGAAUCUGCUUGCUUUGGGGAAGAAAAGCCUGCUAGCUCUCUGCCUUCCAACUUCUACCCUGAGCCCUGACCCCAUCCCAGCUCCUCCCAGGCAGCCUUCUCUGGCCAGUUUCCUGUGGGAGCCUCUCGCCACCUAAUUUCAUGGGAUAAAAGAAAUUAACAGAAUCAUGAGCUACCUGUUUCCAUUAAGAAGAGAACCUUAGACUUAAAGAGUCUGCAA